AAGCGUAUGCAAAUAGAUCACGUGACACCGGCUGACCCGGUGCGCAAUAUGCUGGCUCAAUCAAGUGAUACAACAAGUGAUGACUCCAGGCUGUCCAACCCAACAUGCAGGACUGUACCCGGGGUUGGUUGUUUUCCACUGUCCAUGCUGGCGUCCAGGAACGAAAACCUUUUCUGUUUCACGCAAAUACAUAGAAUAUAUGUAAAUAAAAAAAGUAUCAAAUUU